GCGAGGGUGGCGGAACUGGUAGACGCGCCGGAUUUAGGUUCCGGUAGGCAACCCCUGUGCAGGUUCGAGUCCUGUCCCUCGUA
rnacentral:tRNA from 1 species